rnacentral:tRNA from 1 species
GAGGGUGUAGCUCAGCAGUAGAGCACGUGCUUAGCAUGCACGAGGUCCUGGGUUCAACCCCCAGUACCUCCU